rnacentral:rRNA from 1 species
GUAGGGUGCGAGCGUUAAUCGGAAUUACUGGGCGUAAAGUGUGCGCAGGCGGCCGAGCAAGUCGAGUGUGAAAGCCCCGGGCUUAACUUGGGAAUUGCGCUCGAAACUACUUGGCUGGAGUGUGGCAGAGGAAGGUGGAAUUCCACGUGUAGCGGUGAAAUGCGUAGAGAUGUGGAGGAACACCAAUGGCGAAGGCAGCCUUCUGGGCCAACACUGACGCUCAUGCACGAAAGCGUGGGGAGCAAACAGGAUUAGAUACCCUGGUAGUCCACGCCCUAAACGAUGACGACUAGUUGUUGGAGGAGUUAAAUCCUUUAGUAACGCAGCUAACGCGCGAAGUCGUCCGCCUGGGGAGUACGGUCGCAAGAUUA